GUUUUGCUAAAAUACUUUCGGAACUUCAUCUUGCUCCAUCAAGUUACGUCCGAAUUGGUUCCCGCUCUCAUUCUCAUGCUUUGCCCAAUCGAUCUUCUUCAGUUUCCUCCUAAAUUCCUUCUUCUCCCAUCACAUUCCUCAAACCAGUAUAUAACCAAACACCCCCAAAUCCUUCUCCAGAUCAAUCUCCCCUUCCUUCAAACCCUCCACCGUUGUUUAACACUCAAAAAGCCACCGUCUUUCUCCACCCAAUGGCCGGAAGAGGCAAAACCCUAGGUUCUGGAGCCGCCAAGAAGGCCACUUCUCGAAGCAGCAAAGCCAGUCUUCAGUUUCCGGUCGGCGAUAUCGCCCGGUUCUUGAAAGCCAGUAAAUACACCGAACGUGUGGGUGCCGGAGCUCCGGUUUAUCUCGCUGCCGUUCUUGAAUACCUCGCCGCAGAAGUGCUAGAAUUGGCGGGGAAUGCUGCAAGGGAUAACAAGAAGACUAGAAUUGUGUCGCGACAUAUUCACUUGGCGGUGAGGAAUGAUGAGGAGUUGAGUAAGCUUCUUGGGGAUUUUAUGAUUGCUAAUGGUGCUGUUAUGCCGAAUAUUCAUAACCUUUUGUUGCCCAAGAGAGAGAGAAGUUGGUGACAUCUGAGAGCUUUAAGAGUUUGUCCAGUUUGAAUGCGGUUGCACUCCUGCGAAAAGUUCGGACGUUCAUCCGGUUCCCAGUUUUCAGAACGGCUUCCAGUAGUUUGAGGAACAAUUGGCUUUUUUUAUGCUCUACACAAGCAGCCUCUAAGAUCCAAGCCGACUAAGAUCCUCGCCGUAUAGCCGUAAUUUCAAUUCCUCUUCAUCAGUUGCGAUGUUCGGUAUUAGUCAUCGUUACUAAAGCGAGCGCCCAGGCGUUUAACUUUUUACAUUGCUAUUAUUGACCCGUUUAACUUUAAUUUACCAUAUUUUGCCAUGUUUGACC